ACGACCAAUGAGAACGGCCUGCAGGGGGCGCAAGGAUUCACUUCUCUCUUGGACACUGACGGGUCUCGACACGCAAAUUCUGCUCCUGGUAAUUGCGUUGGCCGUCAGUGGAAGAGCGUAGCUUCGGUGGGGUUCUGUCUGUCUGCCUCUGAUGGGGUGCGGAUGUGUGGUUCGUCACUGGUGAAUGGUGUUCGACGAUGCAGGUGGAUUUUGUGACGAGCGGAUUUACAAUGAGGGAAUGCUGUGAACGGGAAAAAUGAUGAGCUGUCCUAACUUGCCCAGACAUGUCAUGAUGACGUCACAGCUGACGUCACAGGAUGUCCGGAACUGGUGGUCAUAGCUGUGAUGCUUUGCAACCUGCCUCCGUGCUCCGUCGCCCAGCGACAGUCAGCGGCCGUUCCGGACGGCUUCCUUCAAGAUGGCGUCGUUGAUCUUCAACGAAACUCCUUCUCUCCACUCUAUCUCUAUCUAUUUUUUUAUUUUUAUCAGCUCAACUAGCCCACAACUCACACAGUGGUCUGGACACGUCCUAGACGCUCCCCAAUUAGUGUAAUGACUCCCUGAGUUAUCCUGAUUAAUGUGGGGGUCCCAAUUAGCUCUAAUUGCUCAUUAAUGGCGUCCAGGCCACUGUGUGAGUUGUGGGCCAGUUGAGCUGAUCAUAUACUACUGUCAUUCUCGUUGAUUUUUGCAAUGAAACCAUUUUAGGAUAAAAAAACACUUGUCAAGGUGUAAGCUAUGAAAAGUAGUUAAUUGAGUGAGGCAUUUGAAAUUGCCUUUCUUCCUUUAUAUUUUCAAUGCUGACAUACCUCAGCUUGUGUAACUGUCUACCUGGGCUAUUGCAGCCAAAACCAGCCAGGGAUGUAGCCUGACUCUCUUGAAUAUCACUGAAAAAAAUUGUGUGCAUUUUUUAGACGAUGCAUAUAUCGAAUGUAAAUCAUCAUUUUGUUUUCUUGAACAAUGGGGGCACAUUAAACUGUGCCGAAAUA